rnacentral:tRNA from 1 species
GCGGGUGUGGCGGAACUGGCAGACGCGCCGGACUCAGGAUCCGGUGCCCGUUAGGGCGUGAGGGUUCAACUCCCUCCACCCGCA